rnacentral:rRNA from 1 species
GACGAACGCUGGCGGCGUGCUUAACACAUGCAAGUCGAACGGAAAGGCCCUGCUUUUGUGGGUUGCUCGAGUGGCGAACGGGUGAGUAACACGUGAGUAACCUGCCCUUGACUUUGGGAUAACUUCAGGAAACUGGGGCUAAUACCGGAUAGGAGCUCCUGCUGCAUGGUGGUGGUUGGAAAGUUUCGGCGGUUGGGGAUGGACUCGCGGCUUAUCAGCUUGUUGGUGGGGUAGUGGCUUACCAAGGCUUUGACGGGUAGCCGGCCUGAGAGGGUGACCGGCCACAAUGGGACUGAGAUACGGACCAGAAUCCUACGGGAGGCAGCAGUGGGGAAUAUUGCACAAUGGGCGGAAGCCUGAUGCAGCAACGCUGCGUGCGGGAUGACGGCCUUCGGGUUGUAAACCGCUUUCGCCUGUGACGAAGAGUGAGUGACGGUAAUGGGUAAAGAAGCACCGGCUAACUAUGUG